rnacentral:rRNA from 1 species
UACGAAGGGUGCAAGCGUUACUCGGAAUUACUGGGCGUAAAGCGUGCGUAGGUGGUUUGUUAAGUCGGGUGUGAAAUCCCCAGGCUUAACCUGGGAACUGCAUUCGAGACUGCAUUGCUAGAGUAUGGGAGAGGGAAGUGGAAUUUCCGGUGUAGCGGUGAAAUGCGUAGAUAUCGGAAGGAACAUCAGUGGCGAAAGCGACUUCCUGGACCAAUACUGACGCUCAUGUGCGAAAGCGUGGGGAGCAAACAGG